CGGAGUGCCAUCAAUUUUAUCU
rnacentral:siRNA from 1 species